CCUGUGCUCUUCUUCCACCUGCCAUUUUGCCUUCAUUUAAGUCCAUUCUACAUUGGGGAUGUUAUGCUAUGUAGUUAUUCAUAUUCCACUCAGGAUUGGGACAUGUUCCAAGUUUUUCUCUGGAUUAUGCCUUCCUGAACAAUACUUCAUGCUCAUUUGCCUUCAUUUGACAUACUUUUUGUCCAGCCUCCACAGGAGCCAACACAUGGGCAAUUAUCUGUCUGCUUUACUACUAUGGAAUGCUGAAAACACACACAUGCUCCUGCUGGAACUACUGCCUGUGGCAUGCAAUGAACCCACACUCCAUUAAAGAGCAUCAAUUGGUCAAGCUCAGUGUGUGCACUCUCGGAAUACUGCAUGAGCCUACUGAUCUGCUGACCGCUAGGAAUUUUUUGAACUACUUUUUCUUCAGCUGCACAUUGGUUAACUGAAUGGAGCUAAACUCCAGCUUUCGAGUCGUCCUGCGUCUGAUGACGACAUGUUCCUUUUGUGUCUAUUGGUCCUCCUGUGUCGAGCAAGCCCUCUACAGGAGCGAGGUGUCAACCCACCACCAGACGAUGAUAGUCCACCGCCUUCCACCAACACCAUCCUAUUGAUGUUGUCAGCUUGGGCUGAAACCAUUGGCCCCACCACCAACCACCCUAGCCUUACUGCGUGUCUUCAUCUCCCCCUCUCUGUUUCAUCGAACAAGUAGAAGAACUCACCAACACGACCCGCACAGACAAAACCGCUUAGCAUUAGACGCCAUUCUUCUUCAACAAGGUGGACUUUGUCAAUACCUUAAUCUUUCUCGUGACCAUUGUUGUAUUGCCAUUCCCAAUGUAUCUCUCCCUCUAUCUCUACAAGUUGACAAAAUGAAGAAAAUUGCGGAAAACGUCAACCGACUUUCAGGUAUAGGUCAAGGUUGGCUAUCAGACCUCUUCCGUUGGUUUGGAUGGGACACGUCAUCAUGGUUUCUCAACUUGUUAAUGCCCCUCAUUACGCUGUUGUUACCGAUUGCUGUGUUUAUAUGUUUUGGUUGUUGGAUUUUACAGUAUCUCAAAACAAAGCUAACCACGCUUUCUGCUUUUGUAUACACCUGCUUGCCAAACACUAACAAUGAUGAACAAAAUGGUCUGUACAUAAAUAUGAUGUAACUUGCUGUGCCAUGGGCAAGGGGGCAUGUCACAACCAAAUUAAGUACUGCCCAUGCCACAAGCAAGGAAUAUAUUAAUCAAAACAGGUUUAGUCUAUACAAGGUAACUAAGGGUUAACUAACAAGAUGAUAAUAACAGGUUUUUUUCUGCGCAUGUCAAAAAGAAAUUUAUUACUGCGCCACUAACAGAGAUAAAGACUUUUGCCUUCUUUGCUUUAUAUAAAUCAUUGUAAUUGGUCGGAAUGACAGGGGAGUGUCCGGGAGUGUUCCUAUGAUAACACCCUAGCGAAGACCACUAUACAAUUGGUGAUUCUAAUUAAAUUUAUGACGUGGCGAAAAACAAUUGGCUAAUAUACAAAUAAAACCCAUCUUCACUUCCGUGAAGAAGGAGGACCUCCGUACAAACCUUGGAGACCUCUGAUCACACGUAUCAGAGUAACUGACAACUUGAUCACUUGCCAGUGCCCCCCUCGCGUCUCGACCCAAUCUUAAGACGUAAGUCACCGACCUGCCGGCCCGAUUUUUUUCUCCGUUUAUCUGCCCGAGGAAAAACUUUCAUGCAGACCGACCUUCGAACCUUAAACUGUAACUAACCAAAUAUCUCUGACCUCCGUCUUUCACCACCUUAACGGCGUGAGUAAAUAAUCUUGCUUUGCAACCGAUAA